AACUCCUUGGAGGAAGAGAAAGAGGAGGGCGGAGGGGGAAAAAAGCAGUUGAGGGCAUGAUAGAUGUAAUGAGUGCGGAUAAAGGCAUCAGUGCAGGUCUGUGGUCUGUGGAGCAGACCGAUUCAAAACACUCUUCAAAGAGUUUUCAUCGUCUGGGGAGGUGGGGACGGCGGAGGACUGGAGGGACUCGGCCGAGGUGGGGGACUUUCCUCCACUCUCUCCCCAGCGGCGGUGCACGUCGAGCGGCUGCAGCCGGGGCCACCAAGGCCCCCUUUGUGCCGGUUAUCACCAGGUGGUGAGUGAUGGCACCGUGGCCUCCCGCUCUCAGAGAGGCAGCAGGGCUCAGAGGGGAGGAGGAGGAGAAGGUGCAGGAGUGGAGCAGCCUGGAAUGUUCCCAGAAGAGACGGAGGGCGCGAAAGAGAGGAAAAGAAAGGCAAGAAAAAGAAAGAGGCUGUUUGAAGAGACGGCAGCGCUGGAGUUGUAGCAUCUGUACCUGUCUCACAGGUGCACCGAGGAGGAAUGUGCUUUGCUGUGAUGACUCAAUAGGGCUUGAACCAUCAAUGAAAUAGCAAAGAGAAAAAAAACUUCUAACAGUGUGGGAAUUGUCAGGAUUUCACUCAUUAUCUUUCUAGUUCAUCUCAUAACCUUGUUUUAUUUGACAGGCUCCAAUUUAACAAGCUGAUGUCAUCUGAGUUCUAACUAGCUGCGCGUUUCCUGCUAUGAUUUCAUGUCUUGACUCAAUUAUGCUAACUGAGACACAGUCGUGAGCGCUGAGUGACGGACAAACGUCAAGACGGUGAGCGGACGUCGAAACACAUCUGAGUCACUGGAUAUUGGAAACUGCCUGGACGACGCAAGGGGUCAAAAGUCAGUUUGCCUCCCCACCUUCUCCCACGCUCCCUCCAUGGCUGACACACCUGUUCUCUCCCCAGCACCCACAUCCCUUUUGCCUUCAGUCUCUGUCAUAAAGAAGUAUGAACACACACAGAUACCAGUGUCACAGACAUCUUUCUCUCUCUCUCUCUCUCCCACACACACACACACACACACACACACACACA